rnacentral:rRNA from 1 species
AGCAGCCGCGGUAAUUCCAGCUCCAAUAGCGUAUAUUAAAGUUGUUGCAGUUAAAAAGCUCGUAGUUGAAUUUCGGGAUCAAUGCGUCGGUCGUGCCUUCGGUACGUACUAGCGUCAUUGAUUCCUCCCUUCUGAAGAACCGUGAUGUCAUUAAUUUGGUGUUACGGGAAAUCAGGACUGUUACCUUGAAAAAUUAGAGUGUUUAAAGCAGGCUAACGCUUGAAUACAUUAGCAUGGAAUAAUGAAAUAGGACGUUCGAACCUAUUUUGUUGGUUUCUAGGAUCGACGUAAUGAUUAAUAGGGAUAGUUGGGGGCAUUAGUAUUCAAUUGUCAGAGGUGAAAUUCUUGGAUUUAUUGAAGACUAACUACUGCGAAAGCAUUUGCCAAGGAUGUUUUCAUUAAUCAAGAACGAAAGUUAGGGGAUCGAAGACGAUCAGAUACCGUCGUAGUCUUAACCAUAAACUAUGCCGACUAGGGAUCGGAUGAUGUUAAUUUUAUAAU